GCUUAACACAUGCAAGUCGAACGAGGUGAUUGAAAGCUUGCUUUGAGAACCGAGUGGCAAACGGGUGAGUAACGCGUAGACAACCUGCCGCAAAGAUGGGGACAACAGUUCGAAAGGACUGCUAAUACCGAAUGUGUCAGACUCCCGCAUGGGAGACUGAUUAAAGAUGGCCUCUACUUGUAAGCUAUCGCUUUGCGAUGGGUCUGCGUCUGAUUAGCUGGUUGGUGGGGUAACGGCCUACCAAGGCGACGAUCAGUAGCCGGUCUGAGAGGAUGAACGGCCACAUUGGAACUGAGACACGGUCCAGACUCCUACGGGAGGCAGCAGUGGGGAAUCUUCCGCAAUGGGCGAAAGCCUGACGGAGCAACGCCGCGUGAGUGAAGAAGGGGUUUUUCCGGCUCGUAAAGCUCUGUUGACGGGGACGAAUGUGCGAGAUGCGAAUAGUUUCUUGCAAUGACGGUACCCAUCGAGGAAGCCACGGCUAACUACGUGCCAGCAGCGGC
rnacentral:rRNA from 1 species